AGGCGAGGGCGGAGCGGGGCUAAAGCGGACCUCAUCCCCAGAAGACAGGGAGUGGGCAGAAAGAUUGCGUUUCCUUCGCCCAUCUUCGCCGUUAUGCAGCCGGUAACGUAUUUUUCUCUUUAAACGACCAUUAAAGCGCGACAGGGAGAUAACCUGGAAGGGGGGGUGAGGAGGACCGUUUCAGCUGGUGUGUGUGUAUGAGCUCUCUCUUGCCAUCUCGCACACCCCUCCUCUCUCCCGCGAACGCGCUCGCACACGACAACGCGGAGGGAGAAUAUGUACAGCUGUAUAUCGCGGCCCAUCAUUACAAGCGCACAACUGCCUUCCACCCUCACCACAUAAAAAAAGGAAAAGGAGGCAUCAGCGGAUGAUUACUUCCCUCUUUGUGCACGUGGACAC
rnacentral:misc_RNA from 1 species